UACGUAGGUGUCAAGCGUUGUCCGGAUUUAUUGGGCGUAAAGCGCCCGCAGGCGGCUUGCCAAGUUCGAUGUGAAAUCUCCCGGCUCAACUGGGAGGGUGCAUCGAAAACUGGCAGGCUUGAGGCAGGGAGAGGGAUGUGGAAUUCCAGGUGUAGUGGUGAAAUGCGUAGAUAUUUGGAGGAACACCAGUGGCGAAGGCGGCAUCCUGGCCCUGUCCUGACGCUCAGGGGCGAAAGCGUGGGGAGCAAACCGG
rnacentral:rRNA from 1 species